GUGAAAUGCGUAGAGAUCCGGAGGAACACCAAAGGCGAAGGCAGUGUCCUGGGGGUCGCCUGACGCUCGGGGGCGAGAGCUAGGGGAGCGAACGGGAUUAGAUACCCCGGUAGUCCUAGCCGUAAACGAUGACCACUAGAUGUGCGGGGGCUCGACCCCCUGCGUGUCGCAGUUAACACGCUAAGUGGUCCGCCUGGGGAGUACGGUCGCAAGAUUAAAACUCAAAGGAAUUGACGGGGACCCGCACAAGCAGCGGAGCGUGUGGUUUAAUUCGAUGCAACGCGAAGAACCUUACCAGGCUUGGACAUGCUCAGGACAGCACGAGAGAUCGUGCUCCCGCAUCGCGGGUCUGAGCACAGGUGCUGCAUGGCUGUCGUCAGCUCGUGCCGUGAGGUGUUGGGUUAAGUCCCGCAACGAGCGCAACCCUCAUCGCUAGUUAUAGGUUUCUAGCGAGACUGCCGCGAUUAACGUGGAGGAAGGUGGGGAUGACGUCAAGUCAGCACGGCCCUGACAGCCUGGGCGACACACACGCUACAAUGGCCGGGACAAGCAGUUGCCAACCCGCGAGGGGGAGCUAAUCUUGCCAAACCCGGUCUCAGUUCGGAUUGCAGGCUGCAACCCGCCUGCAUGAAGCAGGAGUUGCUAGUAACCGUGAGUCAGCACAUCACGGUGAAUACGUUCCCGGGUCUUGUACACACCGCCCGUCACACCACAAAAGUCGGCAACCCCUGAAGCCGCCGGGCUAACCGCAUUGCGGAGGCAAGCGUAGAGGGUGGGGUCGGUGAUUGGGGUGAAGUCGUAACAAGGUAACCGU
rnacentral:rRNA from 1 species